GUCAUCUUGCCUUAACCUUCUACUUCCUAUUAGACCUUGCAUUGAAGUACAUAUAUGAGCACUAGAAUCAAAGUCCAAUAUCUAACUAGAAAUAGAAGAAACUAUUAGGUUAGUUCUAUUAUGAGCAUACCUUCAGAAGGUUAAUCAUAUUUUUUUAUCUUCAGGCUCUCUAAGUAAGCAGGAUAGUUUCUCCUCCAGUGGC
rnacentral:lncRNA from 1 species